UACGGAGGGUGCAAGCGUUAUCCGGAUUCACUGGGUUUAAAGGGUGCGUAGGAGGGCAGGGAAGUCAGUGGUGAAAUCUCCGGGCUUAACUCGGAAACUGCCGUUGAUACUCUCUGUCUUGAAUCCCGUGGAGGUGAGCGGAAUAUGUCAUGUAGCGGUGAAAUGCUUAGAUAUGACAUAGAACACCAAUUGCGAAGGCAGCUCGUUACACGAAGAUUGACUCUGAGGCACGAAAGCGUGGGGAUCAAACAGG
rnacentral:rRNA from 1 species